UGGGCCAUAACUGACGCUCAUGGACGAAAGCCAGGGGAGCGAAAGGGAUUAGAUACCCCUGUAGUCCUGGCCGUAAACGAUGMACACUAGGUGUCGGGGGAAUCGACCCCCUCAGUGUCGUAGCCAACGCGUUAAGUGUUCCGCCUGGGGAGUACGCACGCAAGUGUGAAACUCAAAGGAAUUGACGGGGGCCCGCACAAGCGGUGGAGUAUGUGGUUUAAUUCGAUGCMACGCGAAGAACCUUACCAGGGUUUGACAUCCUGCGAAUCCCUUGGARACGAGGGAGUGCCUUCGGGAGCGCAGUGACAGGUGGUGCAUGGCUGUCGUCAGCUCGUGUCGUGAGAUGUUGGGUUAAGUCCCGCAACGAGCGCAACCCACGUUUUUAGUUGCCAGCAUUUAGUUGGGCACUCUAGAAAGACUGCCGGUGAUAAACCGGAGGAAGGUGUGGAUGACGUCUAGUCAUCAUGCCCCUUACAUCCUGGGCUACACACGUACUACMAUGCUACGGACAAAGGGCAGCAUACUCGCGAGAGCUAGCAAAUCCCAUAAACCGUGGCUCAGUUCAGAUCGUAGGCUGCAACUCGCCUACGUGAAGGCGGAAUCGCUAGUAAUCGCAGGUCAGCAUACUGCGGUGAAUACGUUCCCGGGCCUUGUACACACCGCCC
rnacentral:rRNA from 1 species